rnacentral:rRNA from 2 species
AAAUUGAAGAGUUUGAUCAUGGCUCAGAUUGAACGCUGGCGGCAGGCCUAACACAUGCAAGUCGAACGGUAACAGGAAGCAGCUUGCUGCUUCGCUGACGAGUGGCGGACGGGUGAGUAAUGUCUGGGAAACUGCCUGAUGGAGGGGGAUAACUACUGGAAACGGUGGCUAAUACCGCAUAACGUCGCAAGACCAAAGAGGGGGACCUUCGGGCCUCUUGCCAUCAGAUGUGCCCAGAUGGGAUUAGCUUGUUGGUGAGGUAACGGCUCACCAAGGCGACGAUCCCUAGCUGGUCUGAGAGGAUGACCAGCCACACUGGAACUGAGACACGGUCCAGACUCCUACGGGAGGCAGCAGUGGGGAAUAUUGCACAAUGGGCGCAAGCCUGAUGCAGCCAUGCCGCGUGUAUGAAGAAGGCCUUCGGGUUGUAAAGUACUUUCAGCGGGGAGGAAGGUGUUGCGGUUAAUAACCGCAGCAAUUGACGUUACCCGCAGAAGAAGCACCGGCUAACUCCGUGCCAGCAGCCGCGGUAAUACGGAGGGUGCAAGCGUUAAUCGGAAUUACUGGGCGUAAAGCGCACGCAGGCGGUCUGUCAAGUCGGAUGUGAAAUCCCCGGGCUCAACCUGGGAACUGCAUUCGAAACUGGCAGGCUUGAGUCUUGUAGAGGGGGGUAGAAUUCCAGGUGUAGCGGUGAAAUGCGUAGAGAUC